GACGUAGGGUGCGAGCGUUGUCCGGAUUUACUGGGCGUAAAGCGCGCGUAGGCGGCUCGUUAAGUGUGAAGUGAAAGCCCGGGGCUCAACUCCGGAAUUGCCUUUAAGACUGCAUCGCUCGAAUUGUGGAGAGGUAAGUGGAAUUCCGAGUGUAGAGGUGAAAUUCGUAGAUAUUCGGAAGAACACCAGUGGCGAAGGCGACUUACUGGACACAUAUUGACGCUGAGGUGCGAAAGCGUGGGGAGCAAACAGG
rnacentral:rRNA from 1 species